CACAGACAGACCCUGUCUCCAAAACAAAAAAGCGUGAUGGAGGGGCCGCAGCCCGUGGGGGCCCACCUACCUGCCCAGCUGCCCUUGGGUGGCUGAGCUUCUCUCCCACCUACACUGUGUGGAUGGACGUGGGCCUCCCUACACCCAGAUAGAGCAGAGCCCCACAGGUAUAACAGGAAUUCCUGGGGUGUCCUGAAGCCUGGUUUAAAGUGGGGUGUGGAUCCCAUGCUCCCCUCCCUGACCCCUGACUAGGUGGUUGACUGAUCACAUUUCACCAGGGAAGGCACAUGGCCUCCUGCGUGCUCUGCCCCUCCCGCUGCCCAGCUGUGUGCUGGGCUCUGGUUACCUGGCCCUGGAAGACGGUAUGACCUCCUUUCCCCCCAGCCCUGCCCUUCCUCCCCUGUCCCCAUCAUGCUGGACUCAGAUCCCUAUUCUGGGAACCCAGGAACUACCACAGGGAUGAGCAGGAGGCCCUUCAGGUCCAGAGGGCGAAGGACUUCCCGCUUGAGCAAGAUGGCCGGUGAGUGCCCUGGCACCCAGGCCUCCGGAAGGGCCGGUCCACAUUCCACCACCUGCUUGUUGUGUUUAUUUUCUGCCGUUGUAAAGAGCAAGGUUCCAUGCUGACUUCUUAUUCUUCUAUUUAUGUAACAACGUUUUCGAGUCCCUACUAUGUGACCUGAGACAUACGUCAGUAAACACACACAGGGCCCCGCCGUCCAGAACCACUCAGCUUCCCUUCCAAGAUGCCUGCUGCGGUGCCUCUUUCCAUAGCCAUGUCUGGGACCCACCUUGCUCCCUGCCUUCCCUCUGGUCCUGGUUUCUGGAAAUCAGUCCUGACCAGUGUGGCACUUGCUCUUCUGUGGACCAGGGCAUCCUAGGGCAGCCCUUAGAUGCCGCAUUCGGAGGCAGGAAACACCUGGGACUUGAAUGCAUGCACUUACUAUUUGGUGGGCUGGUCUCUGGCCAUCCCCCGCUUCCCUCUCCCUCCCCAGCCUGGACUGACCCUUGAGGACUUCCCCCUCACUGCUGCCUUCCCAGGCUGCUCAUUGGUCACCGUGUCCUAUGGAUUUCGUGUCCCAAACAUUUCUCGAAUUGGUCCCCUUUUUUCCAUCUCCAUGGGCCUGGCCUGGCCCACCAUGUGGUCAUGGAUGACUGCAGUAGCCCCUCAUGUUCUCCCACUUCUCGUUACAAGCCAUUCUCCCCAGAGUGAUGUUUAGAAACAAUUCAAGUCAUGUCACUUUGCUGCUUAAUAUUCUUCAGUGGCUCCAUCCUUAGGAUAAAGUUCCAAUCCCAUGCCCAGGAUUCAGCCCUUGCCUACCUCCUCAGCCCCACAUCACACCUGGCCAAUUCCUCUUCAUCCUUCCGAUGCCAGCUCCAGCUCCUGUGUCACCACCUCUGAGAAGCCCUCCUGGCCCUUUCUGACACAGCCUACCGCCUAGUUCCUUUUUUAAGAAGUGUUUAUGCCAGCUGUCAUUGCAUAUUUACGUGUGUGACUUGCUCCUUGCCUGUCUCUCCUCCUUGGGGAUGGUGACUUGGCUCGGUUUGCUCGACGCUAUGUCCUCAGCAUGUAACCCAGCGCCGGCCUUCCAAUACUUGUUUGGUGAAUGAAUGAAGGAGCCAAUAAACACGUGGACACA